rnacentral:rRNA from 1 species
AUUGAACGCUGGCGGCAGGCCUAACACAUGCAAGUCGAACGGUAACAGGAAGAAGCUUGCUUCUUUGCUGACGAGUGGCGGACGGGUGAGUAAUGUCUGGGAAACUGCCUGAUGGAGGGGGAUAACUACUGGAAACGGUAGCUAAUACCGCAUAACGUCGCAAGACCAAAGAGGGGGACCUUCGGGCCUCUUGCCAUCGGAUGUGCCCAGAUGGGAUUAGCUAGUAGGUGGGGUAACGGCUCACCUAGGCGACGAGCCCUAGCUGGUCUGAGAGGAUGACCAGCCACACUGGAACUGAGACACGGUCCAGACUCCUACGGGAGGCAGCAGUGGGGAAUAUUGCACAAUGGGCGCAAGCCUGAUGCAGCCAUGCCGCGUGUAUGAAGAAGGCCUUCGGGUUGUAAAGUACUUUCAGCGGGGAGGAAGGGAGUAAAGUUAAUACCUUUGCUCAUUGACGUUACCCGCAGAAGAAGCACCGGCUAACUCCGUG